GUGAUUCCUCUAGGGCUUCAGCUUUAAUAAAUCACAGGAACAAAUAAUACAAGUCAUAGUUCAAGUGUUCAUCAUACACCACUUCUAAUUGUACAUUUCUUUUAAGUGACAAUAGGCUCCAUAUGGCAUAGAAAGUGAUCAAGGACUUGGGCUCUAAUUAAACCUACCGCAGGACUUCUUGUUUUUUGGCUUUUACUUUCAGUUGCAGCCCUAUACAGUAUAUAUAUGGAGCAGCGGUACUGACCGAGACACAGCGACACUUCACCAAAACUUGAUUCAAGAUGUCCAAAGAGCUACAGUUGAGCCACCAUGGACAUGGUGGAAAUGAUGGAGACUAUGCUAUCCCCUCUACCAAAAAUUUCCACCAUGGAGAUGACGAAACUGAUGAAGAGAACGCUGACAUAAAUGAAAUCGAUGAGGCUCCCAUAAAAAUGUCAAAAGCGCAAGAUACAUCAGCUAAUGCUUCAAGCGAAAUCUUAAGCAUAAUUGACACAUACGACCGGCAGG